AUGAUGCUUCUGAUGUGUGUGUAUGUGAUGUUUCAAUGCUCAGGUUUAUUGGUCCAUCCCGAUUUUUCUGGUGGAGAAAUGGAACUUAAGACCCCAAAUAAACAAACUAAACAGGAUGUCAAGAUUACGGCCACACCACUGCCAGAAGGAAUUGGUGGGUCUGUCUACCUCCAUGAGGGGGCACUGCUCUUCACGGAAAGCCUUGGACACCUUGACAGCGUGCGGACAGAUACAGCUGGGAAUAAGUCUGGAAGGCACUCAGCAUCGUUGGGAAGAGCCGUGAGCACUGCUGCCCAUGGGACCUCAUCCUCCACGUGUGUAGCAACACGCUGCCGACUGCUCACUGCGACCACACGGACAACAGUGAAGGGAAAAGCAGAUUUCAACAGCAGGCAGUGAUUUGUUUAUGGUGAAAGACAACAUACAUACUCAUUAGAAGCAAGCGGCCACAUCCAGAAGGAUCCAAUGAAGGCCGUGCAGCAGGAGAGGAAGGAGCACUGCACUCUGAGGGCACACAGCUUCCCCCUCCAUACUGAGCUGAACCACCGAGCUCAAGGCACCCAGCCAUGAAACUGCAGGCAUCUCAACAGCCCCAGCAUUGUGAGUGAGUUCUGUUCUGCUGGUGUUUGGAUGCCAGCAGCAGUUAUUGUAUGGACAGAAAAGCGUACACAGAAUAAGCUUACAGAGAACAAGCUUAGGAUAUUUGGCUAUUUGUUUAAAGCUGAUCUUCACAGGCUGGUAGGUUUAGAGUUUAUUAACAAGUUUGUAGUGAAUGCAAAGUAGGGAAUCUGUAAUUAUAGAACUACGAGAUUGCUUUAUGGGUUUAAUUUUGCACAUGUGAAAAACCCAUACAGCUGCAGGAAUCUGUAGCUACAAGCCUGGUGGAAAACAAACCUUGCUCUAACAACAAUAAAACUUACCUACAAACCUUGGAAACUCA
rnacentral:lncRNA from 1 species